GUACUGAAUGAUUCUACUUGAAAGACAGAAAAAAAAAGGGAAGGAAGAAAGGAGAGGUGGGCACAAGACAAAAUGAAUCUCUCCGCUAUGCACAUGGAGCCUUAGCUCUGAUUUCAGUUGAGCAAAAUUAUGGUGACGAUAAUUCCCCACAUGGAGCACAGAUACACACCCUGAGGCGAGGCACUCACUCUCCAAAGGCCCUCUGAAGGAUCCUGCAUGUCCUGACUGCACAGCCUGCUCCUGACAAUGCUCUCAAAGCCACUGUUGUAAUACAAAGUGAAAAAUUAAAGCAGAUCCAUGUGGCCUCAGCAGAACGAAAGCAAGGUAGGCCAAAGAGAAAUCAGGAAUAAAUGGAUGCUACUACUGUUAGCACUGCUUCUGCUGCCAAGUUUUUGAGCACAUAACCAGGAUGACAGCCACAGUUCCACAAAGCUCUGAUAAACCAUCAAAAAGAAACCUACCACUAAGGAAAGUAGUGAUUCCCUUCCUGUCUUAAGUAAAUGGCAAUGACCUUGGCAGCCAAUAUGAUAAAUAUACAUAUUUAUUAUAUUCAAAAACUAUUCUAAAAUGUAUAUUCUCUCUAUAACAUGAUUCUGAGAAAAAGUUUAAUCUAUCUUUCUACUACAAAGUUCUUAGUGAUAUUUUGACAACGAGGUGCCAUAUCCCAAGAUGUGAUACUUUUUGCUCAGUUCUUGAAUUAAACAUUCUAGA